UUCAUCUUCUUCCUCUGCUUCUUUCUCCAGUACUUUCCUCCCCCGCUCCCCCUCCCCCCCGACGGAAUCAUCUACGGCGUUGUCUUGUGGCUGGAAGAAGGUUAAGGAGGCAGUUGCUUCAUGGAUCUCGACGAAGACGAUUUUGACAUGCCAUCAUCCCCUCUUUUUGGAGCCAUGAACACUGCAAAGAAGAGACAUGAGGACCACUUGGUUAAUCAUACUGGAACAGAUAAGAGGCCAGUGAAGAAAAGGAAAACCCUGGACAAGAAGGCCCAGAACAAGGAUGCUAAGUUUAAGCAGGAAAAUGGCAGUUGCGAUUUUUUCCUGUGGGAAUAGCACUAUGCAUACUUCAUUACCGGAGUUGGGAUCAAUAUGUUGAUAGAAGCUGCUGGUGGCGGUAGCAAUUUCAUGUUUGGAAUGGCAGGUUUCAUGAGAGAUAUUAAGGCGGUGGUGAUGAACACGUUCAUCAUUUGCAUAAUCAUAUUGUCAGUUCUGGCAUUCCACUUUUCACAUAACUUACUAUGAAAUAGCAUUUCACCAGCUAGAUGAUUCCCAAUAUAAUAUGUAGUGAACACACUAUAUAUUAUUAGAUAUAUGUGCUACAGAGCUGCAGAAAUUAAGUUAUCUGAAAGUUGAAGUGUAGGGUGAAUCACUUAUUUUAUUUCAUGUACUGCUUUGGAUGGAAUAUAUUUGUCCUUGCCAAUUUGUAUCGACCAGCCAUGCCUACUGAGUGUAGUGAGAACUGUGCUCUCUCUCUACCAUGUGUAAUUUCAACUGUGCAACCUAUGAUGCCUCCUGUGCAUGUAUGUGACAACGAUGCAGAGUCCUCUCUCCUUACAAAAAAAUAUGUAAUGA